AGCAGCCGCUGCUCCGUUGUCCUGCCUGUUGCCUGCUCGGAGCAUGCCCCUCUCUGGCCACCCCGUGUCCUGGGGGCAGUGGCCCAGGCUGUCUCAGCUGUGUCAUUCUGCCCAGGGCCUUGUGUUGGAUUUUUGUUUGCACUCACUGUCCCCCUUCGAAGGUCACUCAGGCAGCGCCCAGCGUGGAGGGAGCCCCGUGUUCACUGGUUCGCUUAUCGACGGAGCCUCCUCCCGGUCUCCUGUUACUACAUGAAGGAGGCGCUGGGCACGGACCUGAUGGUGGACACCCGGAGCGUGGCGCAGGCCUGAGGCAGUGGGCACAGCUGAGCCGGGAGGCUGAGCAUAUAGGGGCAGCAUCUCAGAGGAUGGGGUGUGGCUGAGGCCUGUGCAGUGAAAGCAGCAGAAAAGACA